rnacentral:rRNA from 1 species
UACGAAGGGGGCGAGCGUUGUUCGGAAUUACUGGGCGUAAAGGGAGCGUAGGCGGGAGAAUAAGUUAGGAGUUUAAGUCACAGGCUCGACCUGUGAACGGCUUCUAAUACUGUUUUUCUUGAGUACGGGAGAGGGAUAUGGAAUUCCAGGUGUAGCGGUGGAAUGCGUAGAUAUCUGGAAGAACACCAGUUGCGAAGGCGGUCUCCUGGUCCGAUACUGACGCUGAGGCUGGAAAGCUAGGGGAGCAAACAGG